UCUUUUUAAUUGUUUACUUUAUUUUCUUUACCUGGUUAAUUGUUGUUCUUUUUCAUUUUUAUCACCAUUUUUUUAAUCAUCUUCAUGAUAGAUUUUAAUUGUUGGCAAGUAUUUACUCCUCAAUCUACUGAGGUUUUUACUGCUCUAAUUUGUGGUGUUUAUGGUGAUUCCAUUUUGUUUAUGUAACACUAAUCUUUUUUGUUUGUUAAAUGUGAUUUUUGAUUGUUAAACUGGUUCGUGUUAAUUUUUUCCCUUUUGGUUUUCUCUUGAUUGUUACAAUUUGUUAACAGUCAAUUUAUUGUGUUGUUAAAGAUUGAUCAUCAGUGGGGUUACAGUUAUAAAUUCACACUUCCAUAUCAAAACCUAUUAACAUAGUCUUGAUUUCUGGUCACCAUUUUGUUUUGUUUUUUACAAUUUUGUUUUCUCCUCUCAAAGUUAAUCAUCAUCAUCUUCAUCAUCAUCGUCAUCCUAAUUGGUAAUGAUUAUUUGUACCUGGUUAAUGUCAUUCAAAUUUAUACGUUUCCACCAUCUACCUGUUAAUCCAAUUUCCAUCAAUGCGGGUUUAUCUCUGAAUGAUGAAGCUGAUUAAUGUUCCCUGUUGACUAUGAUAAUGAUGGACACUUGAUGAUUACGUGAUUAACAGAUUCUACUCAUUUGUAACCGACUCUCUCGAUCUCUCUGUCAAUGUCUAUUGUGUUGAUCAUCUUUUUGUUGUCACCAAUCCACCAGUUGCCUAAAUUGUUACGACAAUUAGUUGAUUUUUUUGCUUCUUCUCCUUCUCUCCAACGCCAACAACAGAUCAAGACAAUUAGAAGCAAAUUGUAAUUGUGGUCUCAUGAAGCAUUUCGACAAUUUAAUAGACUAAUAACAUAAUUUGUCCGUAAACGAUUGGUUACAAAAAAGCAACAAUCAAAUGGUUGAUUAGGCGUUAAGGUUUUCAUUUGGGAUUUUGGUUGAUAACAUUUAUCAUAAUCCAAUGUUACACAGCAAUUGGUUACAAUGAGAAUAAUCAUCAUAAUUAAUUGUAGAUUAAAAUCUAAACCAUAACAAUUAACCUGUAAGAGUCUUUUGUGACAAUUUAAAUUGUCUAAUAUAUGGAAUACAUGGAAAAUGGUUGAAGAGAAAAAUACUUGAAACUCUCUUGAACAAUUAACCAAAUCAACGAAAAUGAAGGAAAAACAAUCAAAUCAAUAAAUUGAUUAAAUCAAAAAUCUUGUUAAUUGUUACACAUACACACAAGGAGGAAAAGAAAAGGUUAAUCAAAUAAUCAAUAAAUCAACGUAAGUAAUUAAAAAAAAAGGUAAUGAUUACAGAUUUUGAUUAACUGAUCAAUAGAUUUUUGUAAAAUAUUUAAGUGUAAAUGAUUUAAAUUUAAUGUGAUAAAAAUCACAAUCAAUUAAUCAAUGAUGAUGGUGAGUCUUUACAUUCAAUAUGUUGAAAAAGUGAAAGUUAACAACAAUCAACUAAUUGUUGCCAAAAAUGAAACGUAAUUUAAUUAUCACUUCUGGAAUUGUGGUUAAUCAAUUUUGUUAAUUAUUUGAAGAAAAAAAAUCUCUUCCUGAUUCUUAUUGAAUUAAAACACCUUGAACUUGAUUAACAAUCUCUUAAUUAUCCCAAAUUAAUCAUUGAUUUCCUUGAUUAUAUUAGCUAAUCAAAGUGAUCAAAUUUAAUUAUUGCCUUAAGGGUAAUUACAAUUGACGUUUUUGUUUUCCCAAUCAAUACCAUGUUGAUGAUCAUUGGCUCACAAUCAAAAAGUUUUAAUUUCCUUUAUUCAAAAAGUUAAUCAUGUAAAUGAUAAUUGGGUUGAUUAAAUGCUGAUAUUGAUUGUUGAUCAAUGACAAUUUAGUUAGACUUAAAUUGCAGCGAAAAAAAAAGAUUAGUAAUAAAAGUUGAUUAACUAAUCAACCUUAUUUGAAGUUUAAUUGGGGAUACAAUGAAAAAAAAAGGUUCAUAAUAAUUAACGAUUUUGUUUGAUAAUACAAUUAAUUGUUAAUCUGAUAAUAAAAAUGGACCAAAUAUAAGACAAACUGAAUUAAGGAAUUGAUUGUUGGGAUAAUUUGACUUGUCUAUUAGUAUGUUAACCUCUUGAAAUGAUUAAUCUAAUUGCAAAUAGAAAACUUGAUCAUGGUUAUCGUAAUAUUAUCAUGAAAAAAUAUCACAAUUUCUCAUCAACUGAAGACACAGACUGGAUAAGGGCCUCAUGGAGAUGAUGAUGAUAAGGAUGAUAAAGAUGAUCUCUUUCUCUAUGUAAUAUCAAUACGAUUUUUAGGUCAAACUGAAUGUUCAUUUUCAGCUUCCCGGUUCAAUCAUUUUCUUGUUUCAAUUUCCCUUUUAUCCUCGUUCUUUAUCAUCUUUAUCAUCUCUCUCUCUCUCUCUCUCUCUCUCUCUCUCUCUCUCUCUCUCUCUCUCAAGGUUCCUCUCAAUUAAGGUUAUCAUCAUUUUCUGGUUAUUAGUAUUUUUUGUGUCUCCUAAUCCACUUUUUAUUUUCACUCGACAAUCAUCAUGAUGGAAAACCUGAAAAUCUCUGUCUUUUUCUCUGUCGACAAGAUGAUAAUUAUCAUUAUUUUAGUUCCCCUUUCAAAUAUUACUCAAUUACUGAUUGGCAAAAAUUAACUACUUAACUUAAUUGCUUGACAAUUAAUUCGUUUCUUGUUGAGAUUUUUGAUUAACUUUAUGGAUCUAAAAUCUAAUUAACUUUAAAUAUUAUUAAUACAUUGAACAUCAACUCUUUUUCAUUAAAUCAUAUUGGUAACAAUUAAGUUUCCUUUGUCAUUCUAUCAAAAUUUGCAAAUCAUUUAAUUGAUUAACUGUUUAAUUUUUAAUUGUUCCAAUCAAAUUUGUCAUGUUAUUUGUUUGUUCAUCAUUAAUCAUUAUCAUUUCCUCCCUUAAUUGUUUAUAUAUUUAUUAGUUAGGAAAAAUUAAAGUACGAAAAUUGUUACAUUUAAUUGUUGUUGUUGAUCAAAUUGUUGAUUACAAUCAACUCGAUACCAUCAUUACCUUAUAAUGAAUCUCAAUCAAGCAUUUAUAAUUUAUUAUUUUCUGAUUAAUUGUUAAUUUUAAUCAACCAAAGUUCCUGAUGAACAAAAAUUAAAUCCAAACAAUCAACCAAAUAUUGAGUCAAGAAAAAAAUUAACAACAAUUAAACUCGGUGUGAUUUAAAAGUUAUCAUUGAACUAACUGUUAAUUUUUUGAUUGUUGAUUAAACUUAAUUGUUAUGAAUUUCUUAAUAAUUGAUAUGCAUGAUAAUAAUGAAACAAUGAUUAAAAUGAACAAUUUAACCUUGAUGAACAAUUUUGAUUAACCACAAUGAAAAGAUUGAAAAUUCAACAAUUUAGUUCAACUAAAAGACCCAGAAAAAAAAUAGUUAACUAUUACAAUUAACAAUCAAUUGAUUGUCUCAUAACCAUCAGUUUGAAAACCUUCAAAUUAAUUAUCACCAGUUAAAUGUAUUAUUAUUUAUAUUGUUGUAAUUAAAAUUGAUUUGGUAAUAAAUUUUGAUUGUUUUAGUUAAUUGUGAAC